rnacentral:rRNA from 1 species
AUGCGGUGCUCAAGAGGUAGCAAGAAGGAUUUCUGGCGCCGUUGCCGGGGAGGUCUACGCAAAAGUCAAUAUACCAAGUACCCAUCACAUACCCUUAUCUCCCGCAUCAUAUUAUUUGCCAUUUGCCUCUCGUUUUCCUCUCCCCCACUUCACCCUUGCCGUUUUAUUCGCCCUCUCUCUCUAUCCUCCCUCUCUUUCUCUAUUUGCCUCUUUUUGCCCGCUUGCUUUUUGUUUGCUUGUGUGUUAGUUUGCUUGUUUGUCACGAUGGCUCAAGAUAACACUAAAUUGUGUGACUUCACCAAUACCAACAACAAUGAUUUUAUUAGCACUCCGAUUGCUCCUCUUACUGAUGCUGAAUCUUGUGAAAUUAAUACUGCUUUGCUGAAUCUUGUCAUGAAAGAUCCGUUUUCCGGCCUUCCUAGUGAAGAUGCCACUACCCAUCUAAAUAGCUUCGCUGAUUUGUGUGAUAUGCAAAAUAAGAAAGAUGUGGAUAAUGAUAUUGUUAAAUUUAAGCUAUUUCCUUUUUCGCUUAGAGGUCGUGCUAAAGCUUGA